CCGCACCGGCCCCGGCGGGAGCGGCGGGGCGGGCAGUCCCCGCUGCCCAGUCCGUGCCGGGAGCGCGGCGCGUUCGCACCGCAGCGCCCGGCUCUGCCGCGUGGCCCCCGCUCGGCGGCCGCCUCUGCUGUGCCCGCCGUGUGCCGCAGCCGGCAGCGCACGGGUUUGGGGUUUAGUUCCUCGACACAGAAAUGCCUUAGGAGCCUUCCUCUGCAUCCCUAGAAUGAGCACACGUGAAGUAACUCUGUGCAGCUGUUCUGUCGGGUUUCUCUCAGCCUGCAUGUUACUUCAUUCCCUGCAUCAAGGCUCUGCCCUGUCUCUUCAUGUCCCAGUGCCCUUCCUUCCCUUGCUUCUGCCUCUGCAUCAUUCAAGCAGGGUAUGAUGAGCCUUAAGAAAGGUUUUCUGGGUGUCAGAACUCAGGGGACAUAGUCCAGAACACGCUUAUUCACGUGACGGAGCAUGCGGUCGGUUCCACAGGGAACAGCUUGUAAAGUUAUCUAUUCAAAAGCAAUAGAAGCAGGCCUACAUAGAUGCAGUGGAUGGAUCUACUUCAACUCCAAGGGAGAUCUAUAUUCAGAUCACUUCUGAGUAGAUGCAUUUCUGUGUAUGGUCUGCUGGGAUUGCCAAAAUUCUCAUGGCAACUUGUUGUCUAAGUUAUUCUAUUAGCAAGACGUUACAGUUGAGAACAGUCAUUGGUCCCUUUUUAUGAUUAUUAUUCACUUGCACUCUCUCUUUAUCUGUUCAAAUGUUUAGAAAACAGUCUUUAAGAUACUUUUAGUAAUAUUUGUCUUUAAGAUAUUCCUAGCAGAGGACAAAAUCUGAGUUUCAUAAAUAAGUAUUAAUUAUAUUAUGUAUCCAUCUAUAAAAAUUUGACAUAAUUUUAUUGUGUUUCCUGAGGAUACAUUUUAAUUUCAAAAUAUAAAGGUCAAUUUAUAUAUUUUAACUUUUGUAUUGAUCCUGACAACAUGGACAACUGGAUAUGAAUUCACAUCUGUUAAAGACAAAGAAAGAAAACCAUUAAAUCCUUUGAAGUCUGCA